rnacentral:rRNA from 1 species
UACGGAGGGUGCGAGCGUUAAUCGGAAUUACUGGGCGUAAAGCGCACGUAGGCGGUCAGGCAAGUCGGGUGUGAAAGCCCUGGGCUCAACCUGGGAAUUGCAUUCGAAACUAUCUGACUCGAGUAUGGGAGAGGGAAGCGGAAUUUCCGGUGUAGCGGUGAAAUGCGUAGAUAUCGGAAGGAACACCAGUGGCGAAGGCGGCUUCCUGGACUAAUACUGACGCUGAGAACGCGGAAAGCGUGGGAGCGAACAGG